GGCCGCCCCGCCUGCGCUCCCGCGGGCAGCCGGGAGCCGUAGUUCCGCUCCGGGCGCUCCGACUACAACUCCCGGGAGCCCGCGGGGAGCCCGCGGGGAGCCCACGGGGGGACCCAGGCCCGUCUCGGCUCGGAGGUAAACUCACACAAACUCUGCUGACUUUGCCCCUGCUGAGCUCAGAGACACCUUGAAAAUUGUGGUUAAGUGAGGAAAAACCUUGGUAAAGGUAACCUUAAGUCUUGCUACUAAAGACAUCCACUCCUGCCAGCUGGAGAUGGAUCCCUGGAAGGAGGCUGCUGAACCCACCUUAGGAAGAGUCCCAGAUUCUCUCAUCACUUCUGAAUUCAGAUGUGAACCUCAGACUCCACAUCUCUCUGGCAAAACCCUUUGGAGCGUGUUCCCAUGAUCCACGUGCAGAAAAAUGCUGAAUGGGAUUUUCAGGGCCCAAAUGCACGGCUGAGGAAAGUCUGCUCCGUUUAAAAUCAACAGCGAUGAAGCAACGUGUAAAAUCUCCCCCUGAAUCUGUCGAUGGCUACACUUAACACACGGUGACAAAGCAGAGAUGACUUAAGCUCUUGGCUGAUGGGGUAUUAAAAAGCAGACUGAAAUCUCUCUGGCUGACACCUGUGCAGAAAUGCCAGCUCGAGUUGCUCAUAAACGAUCUUUCCAGCUUGAUGUGUCAUGGAUAUCUGCAGAGCAUGAAGUCAGACAAAGCAGCCCUGUGUCCAAGCGAUGAGGCUGGCUGAUCCCACGGAGUGCUUGUGCGGGCAUGAAGCUUCCCCUGGAAAAACACGGCGGCGAGAUCAUGAGGAGUUCUCAUCCCUCUGUCAUCCUGAGGUGCCACAGAACAGCAGAACAUGCUGGAGGAGGGAGCAGAACAGAUCUGCUGCUGAGUGUUCUGUGCCGCUGCUGCCUUCUCCUCCCACCAUCACCUGCUCAGGCUCCAGCCUGAUCAACAACAAUUAAAAUGUUCUUCAUUUUCCCCAGAAAUCCCCCCCACAACAGCACGGUGACAAAUGGCGCCUCACCCACCGCAGGGAAAAUAGGAGAAUUAUGAUAUUAAUUACAAUUUCUGGAGGUCUGCACCUCCAGAAUCCUGCCUGGUGAUGCCUGGUGUUCUAUCACUUUUUGAGUAAAAGCUAACCCAAAUCACAGACUGCUCCAGGACUCAAAGCAAGGGAGAUUCCCAGUCCAAACUGUAAAAGAUGAGGUGGAACUAAAAGGCAGAUAUGUUUUGGGGUUUUUUUUCCCCCAGUGGAUCUCAUAUUCACAUGGUGGAAGUUUUUUGCACUGUAAAUUCUUGGAGUAAAGACGAUUUUUUGGAAAGAAUAAAGAGUUUCUCUCAGAAUACUUUGACCUAAGAUUCACAUGGUGGAAGUUUUUUGCACUGUAAAUUCUUGGAGUAAAGACGAUUUUUUGAAAGAAUAAAGAGUUUCUCUCAGAAUACUUUGACUUUGACCUAAGAUUCACAUGGUAGAAGUUUUUUGCACUGUAAAUUCUUAAAGACGAUUUUUUGAAAGAAUCAAGAGUUUCUCUCAGAAUACUUUGACUCUGGGAGCUGAUAUUUUAAGGUACAUACCAGAUAACUGCCAAAAUAUCCUGGCAUUCAGUAAUUGUGGAUCUUGUGCUGCAGUUCCUAUGGAAUGCUCAUCUAGAUUAUGAGUUUUACCUCGUAACUCAAAAACCCCCACAAUGUUUCUGCCUCAUUUUGCUGUCUCUUGUAUCAUGGCCGUGCCCAGGGUUUUCUGAGGGUUCUGGGAUCUCAUCUCCUCAGUUUUAGGCACAGCACAGAUGACUCAAAGGACAUCUGUAGGCUUGGGGAAGGGAGCUCAGAGCACUGAGCCAAUGUGUCAUCAUGAGAUGAAAAAUAAUUUCAACAGCACAUCCUGAAAAAUGGUCCCGUCACCUCCCCGGGGCUGCCUCUAAUGAAUUCUAAUUAGAAGCUGUCACUUCUUGUUAUGGGAAGACAGGAAUGCUUCAGCUCUCCCACCCCUUAACCUUGGAGACACCGAGGUGAGCUCUGUCCCCAGGAAUGGUUUCAUUUUAGGGCAUUUUUGUCCCUGGAGGAAAUGAAUUUGGAAUGUCUGUGUGGGGAAGGGCAGGCAGCUCCAGAAGUGCUGCUUCCUCUCGUGCUCUAAAUCCACUUUGAACACUUUCAGCCAUUUGUGCCUGUCAUUUCUCAACUCCUCCUCCCCUGCUCAGCCUGUUCCCUCCCACAUUUGUGCGCUGGAUUCCCAGAGUGGGAUUCCCUCGAAGGCAGAUCCAAACCCCACAAAGCCUUCAGGCUGAGCGUCCAGUGUGAAAUGUGGCACAUUUUUCUGUGGGUUUAUAAAACUGCAGCCCCUAAACAAUGCGGCCUCCUCCCAGCACACUGCUGCCAUCCAUCUUUCUCAGCCACUUGGUUUCUUGACAGAAUUUACAUAACCUGGCUGAAAACACUCCCACAGCUGAUCAAAUCCUGCUAUGGAAUCCAAAGCUCUGAUUAAAAGGCUGGAGCUUUCCAGCACUGCCUGCACAGAUGGUUAAUACUCACAGUUUGUUCCACAGGGGGGGAAAGUGGCAUUUUCUUUACGAGCACAUCCACCCCGAGCUUUCCCAUGGGAAUUGCUUGUUCUGCUCAGAUUAUUAUUUUAAAGCUGUCAUCAGAUGUGAUCACCCACGGGAUCAGAGGGAGCAAAAGGAGAUGAUCAGAUAAUCCCUGGGGCACAAAGCAUGUGGAGUUGGGUUUGAAGGGAGCUGUCACCUAUGGUCAAUUUGUUCGGCUCAGGGGUUUCUCCUCAUCUGUAUCUUCCUAAAAAUCCUCGUGCAGGCCUUUAGAGAUGGGGGAUGUUGCAGGGAUUUGUAUGAGGAAGAAUCCUCUGAAUCAUUUAAAUAUUGGUAAAGCACGAGCAUGAAGCCUUUAGCUCUCACUGGCCUUAGAUCUGGUGCAGAAAUACGGAGUUAAAUCUAAACCUGAGUUCACUGCAGGAGGAAAGUUAUUUGUUACAAAAGUAAAGCGCCUGCUCACAGACAUCCUGUCAAUCAAAUCUUUCUCAGAUAAACAUCCCCUAAUCUAGAUUUUAACCUUUUCCAGACUCCUCUUUGCCAAAAACCUCAAAAACUCCCAGUGUUUCUCAGGCAGGAAUCAGCACACGAGGAUGUAAUUAAUGAGUGCAGGAGGGGAAAAAAUAAAAAAUUAAAAAAAAAAAGAAGAAAAAGAAGAAAAAGAAAAAAUAAGAAUGUGCUGAAUAGAGGCAAAAUUGAGACUGAAACCCCUCAUCCCAGGCUGCCUGCUCAGUCCUCAGGAUGCAGACAGGACAUUGCAGCUCCUGACAAACAGCCUGAAGAGAUGCUGGAGCAUUCAGCAAGCCCCAGGGCUGGGCAUUGGCGUAAAGACACAGUAAAUCUGUCUGCUACAGUGGAGUCUCUUGCACUGAAUAGCUGGGAUAGGAAUGAGGUUAUCCCUGCUCCUACACACACACAGUCCAUGGCAGACAAAUGCUGCCAUGAAAUAUCCCAGCAGCGCUGCUCUGGUUUCCAGAAGGAGCUGCAGUAAUCAGUUAAUUCAUUAAGGAAAGCCUAUAAUAUUUAGUGGAAGCUGUAUCAGAGCCAAAUCACCCCAUUUCCAGCAGGCCUGGCCGAACAAAUCCACUAAAUCCACUUAAAAUGCUUGAGGAGGGGGGGAAAAAAUAUCCUACCAUAAAAAAAAAGUUAUUUUGGAUAAAUCAUAACCUUACAGGAACACUGUGCCUCAGUUUUCCCGGUGACAAAUGGGGGUGACAGAAGUGCCACUCAACCGAUUCCCAGCAGAGCUGUAAAGCUCAUUUGAUUAACAUUUAUGAAACCACCACGCACGACUCUUGGAGGGGAAUUGCUGCUGAAGAACUGUUGUGA